GCACCCGCCGCCUGGUUGCUAUCCGGAUGCGCGGUCGCGCCUCCCAGGCGCACCUCUGGGCCAGUGGGCCAAGUGUCGCUAGGAAGUUUCCUGCAGGCCCGUCAGGGGGACCCAGUCUGGAGCAACCCGUACAGGCACUUCCAGGGAUUGAUCCAAGAACUUCAUGACUGAGUAUCCAAGGCUUUAUCCAUUGUGCCACCUCCCAUAGAGAGGAAAGAGCAAGUCUGUUCAUUGAUCAUCCCAUAUCCCUCCAGAUUCAUCACAACAUUGCCUACAGUCAAAAUUGCAUCUGAGCAGUGCUUGCCUUUCCUCAGCCUAUAGGCCUGGAAACUGGCCUUACCAACCUCCACACCUGAAGGACAUUAAAGGUGAUUUACAAGAGAUAAACCAGUUUGCAAAUUUGAGAACUAAAUGGUGCUUCCAACCCCACUUAAGCACCUGUGUAAACAAUAGGUGAUUCACCUCAGAAGAGCCUGUCAGGCAACACUCUGGGAAAUGUUUACUUGUAAGAAAGAAUUAAAUGACCUACAGACUUGGAAAUGCAAAAGAAAAGAAAAGAAAAAAAAAAAAGACCUCUCACCUCUGGUUGUCUGGGAUCCUGGGGUUUUUAACCCCAACCUCCACAGUGAGAAUGUACAUAGGGAUAUGUAAUGAACUUAACCUGACCUGGAGGACUCUGCACACAGGACAGACCAAGAA